GUAGGUGGACGUGCAGGAUCAGGGUGGAUCGGGCUCGCCGAACACGACCUGCGCCGCACGCGGCUCGCCUGCUAGGCCCCUGGAGGUGCUGGAGCCUGGACGCCCUGCUCUACAGGAGCUGGGGGAGGAAGAAAUGGCCUCCUUUCGGCUCAGCCCACAGGCGCGUUCAUUUCAGCAUCAAAACUAGGAAAAGUAAUUAGGAAUGGCUGUGGAGGAACUUCAGUGCAUAAUAAAAAGAUGUCAAAUCCUAGAAGAGCAUGAUUUUAAAGAAGAAGAUUUUGGCCUCUUUCAGCUAGCAGGCCAAAGAUGCAUUGAAGAUGGGUAUAUAAACCAGCUGCUAGAGAUUAUUCAAGAUGAAAAGAACAAGACCAUCAUUAAGACUAUGGGGUGGAAUCUUGUUGGUCCUGUUGUCCGAUGCCUCCUGAGGGGCAGGGAAGAGGAUAAAAGAGAAGAGUGUUUUCUGAUCUUUGAUUUGCUGGUGAAGGUUCAAUUGUGAAUAUUUUUAUAGUUGUGUAAUCCAAAGGAAUUGUUGUUGGGUUUGCUUGAACUCAUUGAAGAGCCCUCCGGGAAACAGAUAUCUCAAAUUAUUCUUCUUUUACUGCAACCAUUACAGACAGUUAUUCAGAAACUUCCUAACAACAAGGCAUACUCGGCUGGAUUAGCAUUGUCCACGCUCUGGAGUCAGCUGUCUCUUCUUCCUGUCCCACACUCAGAAGAACAAAUACAGGCAGAUGACUAUGGCCUUUGUCAGUGUUGCAGGGC
rnacentral:lncRNA from 1 species